rnacentral:rRNA from 1 species
AUGUACAUUCCUACAACAUAGCGUUAAUGCACGGAUCCCAUUAGAACUCUGUAGUUAAGCGCGCUUAGGCUAGAGUAGUACUGGGAUAGUUGACCGCUCGGGAAGUCCUAGUGUUUUACAUG